AUACUACUCCCUCCGUUCGAAAUUACUUGUUGCAGAAAUGGAUGUAUCUAGACGUAUUUUAGUUCUAGAUAUAUCCAUUUCUGAGACAAGUAAUUUCGAACGGAGGGAGUAGAAC
rnacentral:pre_miRNA from 1 species